ACCUGGCUGGCUCAGUUGGUAGAGCAUGCGACUUGUGAUCUCAGGGUCAUGAGUUCAAACCCCAUGGUGGGUG